rnacentral:rRNA from 1 species
AGCGGUAGCACAAGGGAGCUUGCUCCCUGGGUGACGAGCGGCGGACGGGUGAGUAAUGUCUGGGAAACUGCCUGAUGGAGGGGGAUAACUACUGGAAACGGUAGCUAAUACCGCAUAACGUCGCAAGACCAAAGAGGGGGACCUUCGGGCCUCUUGCCAUCAGAUGUGCCCAGAUGGGAUUAGCUAGUAGGUGGGGUAAUGGCUCACCUAGGCGACGAUCCCUAGCUGGUCUGAGAGGAUGACCAGCCACACUGGAACUGAGACACGGUCCAGACUCCUACGGGAGGCAGCAGUGGGGAAUAUUGCACAAUGGGCGCAAGCCUGAUGCAGCCAUGCCGCGUGUGUGAAGAAGGCCUUCGGGUUGUAAAGCACUUUCAGCGAGGAGGAAGGUGGUGAGCUUAAUACGUUCAUCAAUUGACGUUACUCGCAGAAGAAGCACCGGCUAACUCCGUGCCAGCAGCCGCGGUAAUACGGAGGGUGCAAGCGUUAAUCGGAAUUACUGGGCGUAAAGCGCACGCAGGCGGUUUGUUAAGUCAGAUGUGAAAUCCCCGGGCUCAACCUGGGAACUGCAUUUGAAACUGGCAAGCUAGAGUCUCGUAGAGGGGGGUAGAAUUCCAGGUGUAGCGGUGAAAUGCGUAGAGAUCUGGAGGAAUACCGGUGGCGAAGGCGGCCCCCUGGACGAA